UACGUAGGGGGCAAGCGUUGUCCGGAAUCAUUGGGCGUAAAGAGCGCGUAGGCGGUCCGGUAAGUCCGCUCUGAAAGCCCGGGGCUCAACCCCGGGAGGCGGGCGGAUACUGUCGGGCUAGAGUCCGGAAGAGGCGAGUGGAAUUCCUGGUGUAGCGGUGAAAUGCGCAGAUAUCAGGAGGAACACCAGAGUCGGAAGGCAGCUCGCUGGGACGGUACUGACGCUGAGCACGAGAAGCGUGGGGAGCAAACAGG
rnacentral:rRNA from 1 species